UACGUAGGGUGCAAGCGUUGUCCGGAAUUAUUGGGCGUAAAGAGCUCGUAGGUGGCGGGUCACGUCGGGUGUGAAAGCCCGGGGCUUAACCCCGGGUCUGCAUUCGAUACGGGCUUGCUAGGGUCCGGCAGGGGAGACUGGAAUUCCUGGUGUAGCGGUGAAAUGCGCAGAUAUCAGGAGGAACACCGGUGGCGAAGGCGGGUCUCUGGGCUGACACUGACGCUCAUGCACGAAAGCGUGGGGAGCAAACAGG
rnacentral:rRNA from 1 species